rnacentral:rRNA from 1 species
AAGAGAGCUUGCUCUCUGAUUCAGCGGCGGACGGGUGAGUAAUGCCUAGGAAUCUGCCUGGUAGUGGGGGACAACGUYUCGAAAGGRACGCUAAUACCGCAUACGUCCUACGGGAGAAAGCAGGGGACCUUCGGGCCUUGCGCUAUCAGAUGAGCCUAGGUCGGAUUAGCUAGUUGGUGAGGUAAUGGCUCACCAAGGCGACGAUCCGUAACUGGUCUGAGAGGAUGAUCAGUCACACUGGAACUGAGACACGGUCCAGACUCCUACGGGAGGCAGCAGUGGGGAAUAUUGGACAAUGGGCGAAAGCCUGAUCCAGCCAUGCCGCGUGUGUGAAGAAGGUCUUCGGAUUGUAAAGCACUUUAAGUUGGGAGGAAGGGNUGUARAUUAAUACUCUGCUGUUUUGACGUUACCGACAGAAUAAGCACCGGCUAACUCUGUGCCAGCAGCCGCGGUAAUACAGAGGGUGCAAGCGUUAAUCGGAAUUACUGGGCGUAAAGCGCGCGUAGGUGGUUUGUUAAGUUGGAUGUGAAA